rnacentral:tRNA from 1 species
GGACGAAUGGCUGAGUCUGGUUUAAGGCACCGGUUUUGAAAACCGGCGUAGGGCAACCUACCGGGGGUUCGAAUCCCUCUUCGUCCG